rnacentral:rRNA from 1 species
UACAGAGGGGGCAAGCGUUGUUCGGAAUUACUGGGCGUAAAGGGCGCGUAGUCGGCCCGCUAAGUCGAACGUGAAAUCCCCGAGCUCAACUCGGGAACUGCGUCCGAUACUGGUGGGCUUGAAUCCGGGAGAGGGAUGCGGAAUUCCAGGUGUAGCGGUGAAAUGCGUAGAUAUCUGGAGGAACACCGGUGGCGAAGGCGGCAUCCUGGACCGGCAUUGACGCUGAGGCGCGAAAGCCAGGGGAGCAAACGGG